GCUGUCACUUAUAGAUGGAUCCGCGCCGUAUUAGCUAGUUGGUAAGGUAACGGCUUACCAAGGCAACGAUACGUAGCCGACCUGAGAGGGUGAUCGGCCACACUGGAACUGAGACACGGUCCAGACUCCUACGGGAGGCAGCAGUAGGGAAUCUUCCGCAAUGGGCGAAAGCCUGACGGAGCAACGCCGCGUGAGUGAUGAAGGUCUUCGGAUCGUAAAACUCUGUUAUCAGGGAAGAACAAAUGUGUAAGUAACUGUGCACAUCUUGACGGUACCUGAUCAGAAAGCCACGGCUAACUACGUGCCAGCAGCCGCGGUAAUACGUAGGUGGCAAGCGUUAUCCGGAAUUAUUGGGCGUAAAGCGCGCGUAGGCGGUUUUUUAAGUCUGAUGUGAAAGCCCACGGCUCAACCGUGGAGGGUCAUUGGAAACUGGAAAACUUGAGUGCAGAAGAGGAAAGUGGAAUUCCAUGUGUAGCGGUGAAAUGCGCAGAGAUAUGGAGGAACACCAGUGGCGAAGGCGAC
rnacentral:rRNA from 1 species